AACUUUCAACAACGGAUCUCUUGGUUCUGGCAUCGAUGAAGAACGCAGCGAAAUGCGAUAAGUAAUGUGAAUUGCAGAAUUCAGUGAAUCAUCGAAUCUUUGAACGCACAUUGCGCCUAGCGGUAUUCCGCUAGGCAUGCCUGUUCGAGCGUCAUUUCAACCCAUCAAGCCUA
rnacentral:rRNA from 1 species